rnacentral:rRNA from 1 species
AUGGAGGCGAAGCGGUCGAGGGCGGCCGCCAUGGCCGCGCUGUGCGUGCUCCUCUUCCUGCUGCUGCUGCCCGGGCAGGCGGCCGCCAAGUCCCGGUCCGAGUACUGCGAGUGCUUCGACGGGUGCUACCUCAGCUGCAGGAACGACCACCACAACCCGCGCUGGGACUGCAUCCCGUCCUGCCAAGACUCGUGCACCAUCUUCACCAGCCAGGCCGGCGGCGGCGCCGCCCCGUGCUACUGCGAGACACGCGCCUGCGAAUCGUCAGCGGCGCCGGCCGAUGCACCUGACGCCGCGGUUCGAUAA